UACGUAGGGGGCUAGCGUUGUUCGGAAUUACUGGGCGUAAAGCGCACGUAGGCGGUUAUUUAAGUCAGGGGUGAAAUCCCAGAGCUCAACUCUGGAACUGCCUUUGAUACUGGGUAUCUUGAGUAUGGAAGAGGUUAGUGGAAUUGCGAGUGUAGAGGUGAAAUUCGUAGAUAUUCGCAGGAACACCAGUGGCGAAGGCGGCUAACUGGUCCAUAACUGACGCUGAGGUACGAAAGCGUGGGGAGCAAACAGG
rnacentral:rRNA from 1 species